rnacentral:tRNA from 1 species
GUGUGUGUAAUUUAAAAAAAAUAUCAAGUUGUGACCCUGAAAAUAGAUAUCGCCUCACACACC